CUUUGAACCUAAUACAAGUUUCUGUGUAUUCAUUUGGGCCUAACUCGGGCGGGUGGCUGGUGUAAAGCUCACAUGUGUCGGUGGGGCUCAGUUUGCUUUUGGUGGAAAGAUUUAUCAUAACACUGCCUCCCCCAGUCCUUCCUCCAGCACAGCCUUGCUCCAACCUGAAGCUGCAACCCUGGGGAUAAACAUGGCAGUGAGUGAAGACAGCCUUUAAAACUUGCAUAGAAGCUACAAGCAAAGGCCUCGGUGCUGACCAUGAACUCUUCCACACAGUUGGCAAAGUACACAUAAAAGCCACAUGGUGGUUCACAUCUGCAAUCCCUGAUCAAGAGUUCAAGACCUGCUUUAGCUACACAGAGAAAUAGAGUAUAGCCUGUGUCGCAUGAGAUCUUGUUUGGAAAAAAGAAAACCCACCCAUUUGUAAAAUUCGUAAGCAGGACACAGAGGGACCUAGAUGGUACUAGCGUUUCCACAGCCUCGGCAGGUGGAGACAGGAAUUCUAACCAGAGGAUACGCCGUGCUUGGUGUGAUUCUAAGUUAAACGAGAAAUGGAUCUGUGCCUGGUGCACUAGUAACCCAAGCACUUAGGAGGCCGUCUCAUCAGGAUCAGUGUGCUGUGCUCUCCAGGAGCACUGUGCCAUCAGGAUCAGUGUGCUGUGCUCUCCAGGAGCACUGUGCCAUCAGGAUCAGUGUGCUGUGCUCUCCAGGAGCACUGUGCCAUCAGGAUCAGUGUGCUGUGCUCUCCAGGAGCACUGUGCCAUCAGGAUCAGUGUGCUGUGCUCUCCAGGAGCACUGUGCCAUCAGGAUCAGUGUGCUGUGCUCUCCAGGAGCACUGUGCCAUCAGGAUCAGUGUUCUGUGCUCUCCAGGAGCACUGUGCCAUCAGGAUCACGGUCCUUGACAGUUCACACAGCUAAGGCAGAGGCAUCACUGUAGAGCCUGUGCCUGGUCCACACCCAUGGUGCCGAAGUUACCCCAAGACCCGAAGGACCAGAGCCCCUCACACCUCUGGCGCCAAAAUCUCCACCAAGAGAAUCAAAGAUCAAAGUGUAGCCCCGACCUACAGGGCCAUCAUAGCCGCUGGGGAAGGUGGCAUGCACCCCUUGAGGGCGUUUGGGUCCCUGAACCUUUUGUGGCGCACAGCAGUUGCUGGUAACAUCCAAGCCAAGUGCCAAGGAGAAACCGACCCUGCCAGCAACUCCACAGACCACCGUGACCAUGUGACCCUGCACUGCUCUCUGGAGCCUAUCAGACUGCUGUGCCCGAGUUACCUGUGAAGGCAAACCUGUCCUCUUCUAUUUUCUUCUUGAGGUGUUUGAUCUCAAAGUCUCUCUCCUUCAGCAGCUUGUACAGCCGCCCGUUCUCAUCGACUGUCUCCCUGAGUUCAUUACGAAGCUGCUGGAUUUCGUCUUCCAGCACCCUGCAAGGGAAAGGUGGGCCUACUGCUCCUCAUAGGCCCUGACCAGGGCCCAGGAUCCCGCUUCCUGCCGAGGCCUGAGGUACCACGUUUGGGCACUAGAGGGCACUAUGAAGUUGUCUGUACAAAAUAAGACUGAAAACUUAGGUGACUAAGUGUGGACGCACCAUGCAAAAAGGCUUGGAUCCCGCUGCUGGUUUCCUCAUAUGAGUCAUAUAAAACUCUCAUUGUGUGUGUUUGUGAGCGUGUGUGUCCAUGUGUAUGGGUGCAUUUGUGUGGGUACAGUCUGAAGCCAGCAAAAACAGGUUCUGAGCAAAGCUAGGAGGCACCAUGGCAGUCUGCACACAUUGAUGUGCUCCAGGGCACUGUCAAGUCCAGAGCAGUGAGGACGCCUGGACAUCCCUCCACCCUCGUCACACCCAUGGUUUAAAGAAAAGUAAGGAGUCAGGAAUCUGCAGUGCAUCAGAGCAGUGAUGUUCGCACGCUGCGGCCUCUCGGGUGUGUGGGGGAGGGAGUGCUGGCAGAGGGGAAAGCAAGGCAGAACCAGGAUGAUCUACAAACUAUCAAUCCCAUCUCAUUCCUUGGAAACGAGGGUUUCAGCACAAUGAUUGCCACGCCUUGAGGAGUUUACAGUUCUUCCAUCUGGCGUUAAACACACCACCCAGCAGCUACAGGAGGCCUCAGCUGUCUGUGUCAAACCCACUUUAAGCUUAGGAACACUUGCCCAGUUGAACCAGUUGUCUAAAUCUGCAACUGCUCUGUUCUCUCCAACAUCCCCGCUCUCUCCACCUGCCUGCAUGAUGCUAAGGAGUCCUUACCUCUUCUCAAAGAUGGUUUUCAGGUUCUGCUCCUCUGUGUCGAGGAGGCUGAGGUUGUCUGGGAUCUCCGCAAGCUCCUCCUGGUCGGCUUUGCCUUUACAACUCAGCUCUUUCUCCUUCUUUUUCUCCAUGUGUUUUUGUAACCUUCUGUGCUGCAGCUCCUGCAUGGCCUUGAACUGGAGCCUCAGAGUGUCUGCUGAGCUUUCUUCUGCCGCCAUCCUGCCCUGAGAACAGAGAAGCCUUGGCAUGUGACAUGAUCUGGGCCAUCUGGGGCUCAGAUUCUCUACUGAGCCAUCGUUGUAUGAGACAGGGCCCUGCAACGGCUAGCCUAGUGCUGUCUCUUGCUGUGUUGACCAGGCUUGCCUCAAACUGAUGGAAUCCACCUGUGUUAACCUCUCAAACGCUAGAGCUACAGGCAAGUUCUCAUGCGUCCCAGGCUGCCCUCGAACUCGGUCUGCAGCCAAGGAUGCUGUUGAACUUUGGAUCCUCCUAACCCCCACCGAGAGCUGGAUGACAGGCAGGCUGCAGCACCACGAGUGUGCAGUGUCUCGUAAAAAGUUCCGCACAGGGGGGACGCAUGUCCUACUGGCCUGCAAGGGUUUGGAAAGCGGAUGAUGUUUCCUGGAGGGUAACGCAGUUACCCAUAGUGUCUUUGGAGAGGAUGAAAGAAGGGGGCGGGAGCUUGUGUUCUAUGCUGAUGAGUGCAACAGGCCAAAAAAUGAUAAUGCUAAGAAAGUUCUUCCUUCUUUUCAAAUGGGGCACAAAACAGUUUAAAAAGGAAUGUUAGAAGUGAUCACGCCAUGGAUGACAACAAAUCCCCAAGCUUCAAGUUCCCUGAGAACUUGCACUUCAAGUUCCCUGAGAACUGCCUUUCCCAUGCACUUAUGAACCCACACAAACACCGACAUUAAAAAAAUACAUGGGACAACACACAAGUGAUUAUAUCUGAAUGGAAGAAUUUUAGUGCUUUUUUAUAUUUUUUUGCAUUUUUAGAAGUUUAAAAAAUAAUGAAAUUUGGUUUUGUUUUGAAAAAAAAAAAACGCUUCUUAAAAUUUUUUUCUGACAAUGCACUACCCAGUUUGACAGUGCUGUGUUUCAGGGCCGCGAAGGAAGGCAAACACACAGGAAAGAUGGCCCAAGGGGGGCCUGCCUAUGUGCUCACAAGCCUUUAUAAUGUGAAAGCCUUCAGCUGCACCGAAGCUGUUUUCCCUUCUGUUUCCCAGACACGUAAAGUGAGUACCGUAUCGUUACCUGUGAAAAUACAGGACUGGGCUCUCACAGCACCGCACACAACUGCUCACCCUUUGAAGUGCAGUAGUGUGCACGGGUGUGCAGCAUCUUUCAAAAAAUGUGUGUGUGUGUGUGUGUGUGUGUGUGUGUGUGUGUACACACAUGUGUAUGUGUCUGUAUGUGUCUGUAUGUAUAUGUGUGUAUCCAUAUGUAUAUGUGUCUGUAUGUAUA